UCCUACGGGAGGCAGCAGUGGGGAAUAUUGCACAAUGGGGGAAACCCUGAUGCAGCGACGCCGCGUGAGUGAAGAAGUAUUUCGGUAUGUAAAGCUCUAUCAGCAGGAACGAGACAAGACGGUACCUGACUAAGAAGCCCCGGCUAACUACGUGCCAGCAGCCGCGGUAAUACGUAGGGGGCAAGCGUUAUCCGGAUUUACUGGGUGUAAAGGGAGCGUAGACGGCAGCACAAGUCUGGAGUGAAAUGCCGGGGCUUAACCCCGGAACUGCUUUGGAAACUGUGCAGCUAGAGUGCAGGAGAGGG
rnacentral:rRNA from 1 species